rnacentral:rRNA from 1 species
AUUGAACGCUGGCGGCAGGCCUAACACAUGCAAGUCGAGCGGAUGAGAGAAGCUUGCUUUUCGAUUCAGCGGCGGACGGGUGAGUAAUGCCUAGGAAUCUGCCUGUUAGUGGGGGAUAAGUCGGGGAAACUCGGGCUAAUACCGCAUACGUCCUACGGGAGUAAGUGGGGGAUCUUCGGACCUCACGCUAACAGAUGAGCCGAGGGCGGAUUAGCGAGUAGGUGAGGUAAUGGCUCACCUAGGCUACGAUCCGUAACUGGUCUGAGAGGAUGAUCAGUCACACUGGAACUGAGACACGGUCCAGACUCCUACGGGAGGCAGCAGUGGGGAAUAUUGGACAAUGGGCGAAAGCCUGAUCCAGCCAUGCCGCGUGUGUGAAGAAGGUCUUCGGAUUGUAAAGCACUUUAAGUUGGGAGGAAGGGUUGUAGAUUAAUACUCUGCAAUUUUGACGUUACCGACAGAAUAAGCACCGGCUAACUCUGUGCCAGCCGCCGCCGUAACAC